rnacentral:rRNA from 1 species
UACGUAGGGCGCGAGCGUUGUCCGGAAUUAUUGGGCGUAAAGAGCUCGUAGGCGGUCUGUCACGUCGGCUGUGAAAACCCGAGGCUCAACCUCGGGCCUGCAGUCGAUACGGGCAAACUAGAGUACUGCAGGGGAGACUGGAAUUCCUGGUGUAGCGGUGAAAUGCGCAGAUAUCAGGAGGAACACCGGUGGCGAAGGCGGAUCUCUGGGCCGAUACUGACGCUGAGGAGCGAAAGCGUGGGGAGCGAACAGG